GCGCAGCUGAGAGGAGUGGAGCCUCCUCAGGCGCGAGGGCGGGGGCUUCGGGUGGGACGCCAGGCUCAGCGCCUCUGCUGACAGGAGCUCGGUCUCCGUCUCCUUAGGACUCGCUGGGGUUUCGGCUUCAGGACAAAGUGGGGCUGCGUCCACGCUGACUAGGGAACAGGUUACCUGAGGACCCAGGUGAUGCCUGAGGGAAAGCCAGCAUCUGUUCUCAGGCCCAAGUGCCUCAGUUUUCCUUUGGGAAUUACAUCUCACCUGCUUCCAGUCCAAACAGUUGCAGAACGAUGACCCCAUGUUCCACCCAGCUCAAAGAUGGGUUUACAACCCACAUCUAGCCAGUCCCAUUUUCCAUCUUCUGGUGAUGGGUCAAGGAUAAGAAUGCAACCCAAGGCAGACCAAAGGCAUUUAAAACCAUGACUCUCUUGGAAUCCAAGAAAAGGAGAAACUCUUUCUCAGAAAAUGGAUGGGUCUCAGAGGACAUGGGAUCAUCAUGCGUGUUUAGUCUCUUCUGGGCUCUGACAGUUGCUCAGACUCUCCUUGUUUCCAUGACCUUGACAGCGUGGAGGAGGGCUGCUCAGUUUCUACUGCACCCCAGGUAAUCCACAGGACCCAAGAGAUGGUAGCUACUAAUAUACUCUUCCCAUGGUGCCUCUUAAUACCAUGUGGACUCCUACAAGGGAAAUAAGUAUCACAACUUUGGUUGAACGUGGUCUGGUCUCAGAUUUACCUGACGGCCACCACUCACAGCUCCCACAGAACCCAGAGAUUUCUCCUGGAAGGAAAGGUUCUGGAAAAUCAGAGGGAUAAAUAAAGGGUGCAGCUGAUUCCCGCCUUGUGCUGACGCCC